rnacentral:RNase_P_RNA from 1 species
AUGCCUGCCCAGAAUGUUGCGGCUUAUUUUUUAAGUCGAGGAAAGUCCGGGCACCGCAGAGCAGUGUGAUGGAUAACGUCCAUCCGGUGUAAGCCGAGGGAAAGUGCAGCAGAGAAAAGACCGCCUAAAUUUAUUUAGGUAAGGGUGAAACGGUGCGGUAAGAGCGCACCACUGGACUGGCAACAGUCUCAGGUAUGGUAAACCCCACACGGUGCAAACGUAAAUAGGUCCCUAUAUACAAGUGGCUCGCUUGAAGGGACGGGUAACGUGCUAAACUGCAUUUGUAAAAGUGCAGAUAGAUGAAUAACAUUCCAAGACAAAACCCGGCUUACGGGCAGGCAAUUUU